rnacentral:lncRNA from 1 species
GUAGGUCUUCUCUAGAAUAACUAGAGGAUCAGAAUAACAUCAAGAUCAUAGAUCUUGGCUCAAGAAUAGUAUAUCUUCAUCACAUAGGAUGGAUCUCCUCAAAAGAGAAUUCUAGGUCUCACAGAGUGGAUAUCGUAGGAAAGUACCUUAGAGAGGGUAAACUGUAGAUCAACACCGUUAGGAUUGUAGAGUUUGCUAUAAGG